UUAAUUGACUGUCUUUUGUUGAAGAAAUAAUUAGGAAAACGGUUGAUCCUAAUCUAUCCUUUCAUACAACCGAAGUAUUUGAUUGAUUAAACGCUUCAAAUAGCUUCAAAAAGGACUAAAGAUGUCAAAUAAAGAAAGUAUCGAAAGUUUAAUUUUGUGUGCUGACUAUGUGUUUGGAAAUGAGAAUUGGUCACAUGAGAUCAAAUCUCAAACUAUAAAUAAUAAAUCAAAAAAGUGUGUUACUUAAUGCAUUACAGUAGUUAGAAUUUCUUUACGAGAUGGAAGAUUUCACGAAGGGAUUGGCUGCUACGAAGAUGUUGACAAUGAAGGCAAAAAUGGUUUUGCAGAAAUUAGAAAGAAAUCAUUAAUUGAUGGAAUUUACAACGCUUUGUUCUAUUUUAAAGAGAUAAGAGCUUA